GAUGAACGCUGGCGGCGUGCCUAAUACAUGCAAGUCGAGCGAACAGACGAGGAGCUUGCUCCUUUGACGUUAGCGGCGGACGGGUGAGUAACACGUGGAUAACCUACCUAUAAGACUGGGAUAACUUCGGGAAACCGGAGCUAAUACCGGAUAACAUGUUGAACCGCAUGGUUCAACAGUGAAAGACGGUUUUGCUGUCACUUAUAGAUGGAUCCGCGCCACAUUAGCUAGUUGGUAAGGUAACGGCUUACCAAGGCAACGAUGCGUAGCCGACCUGAGAGGGUGAUCGGCCACACUGGAACUGAGACACGGUCCAGACUCCUACGGGAGGCAGCAGUAGGGAAUCUUCCGCAAUGGGCGAAAGCCUGACGGAGCAACGCCGCGUGAGUGAAGAAGGUCUUCGGAUCGUAAAACUCUGUUAUUAGGGAAGAACAAAUGUGUAAGUAACUAUGCACGUCUUGACGGUACCUAAUCAGAAAGCCACGGCUAACUACGUG
rnacentral:rRNA from 1 species